CCUACGGGAGGCUGCAGUGGGGAAUAUUGCACAAUGGGGGAAACCCUGAUGCAGCAACGCCGCGUGAGCGAUGAAGGCCUUCGGGUCGUAAAGCUCUGUCCUAAGGGAAGAAUAUUGACGGUACCUUAGGAGGAAGCCCCGGCUAACUACGUGCCAGCAGCCGCGGUAAUACGUAGGGGGGUAGCGUUAUCCGGAAUUACUGGGCGUAAAGGGUGCGUAGGCGGCCCUUCAAGACAGAGGUGAAAGGCUACGGCUGAACCGUAGUAUGCCUUUGAAACUGUAGGGCUUGAGUGCAGAAGAGGGGAGUGGCAGGCUCAGCGGGGUGGAGAACUGCGGGGAUAUUGGGUGGACCACCAGUAUCCAAGGCGGCUCUCUGGGGAGUAACUGACGCUGAAGCAGGUAAGCGUGUGGGGCGAAAAGGCCGAGAUACUCGAGUAGUC
rnacentral:rRNA from 1 species